rnacentral:rRNA from 1 species
UGUAACUGACACUGAGGCUCGAAAGCGUGGGAGCAAAACAGGAUUAGAUACCCUGGUAGUCCACGCGGUAAACGAUGAAUACUAGAUGUCGGGUAGCAAAGCUACUCGGUGUCGUCGCAAACGCAAUAAGUAUUCCACCUGGGGAGUACGUUCGCAAGAAUGAAACUCAAAGGAAUUGACGGGGACCCGCACAAGCAGUGGAGCAUGUGGUUUAAUUCGAAGCAACGCGAAGAACCUUACCUGCUCUUGACAUCCCAUUCGAUAGAGGGUAAUGCCUCUAGCCCUUCGGGGGAAUGGAGACAGGUGGUGCAUGGUUGUCGUCAGCUCGUGUCGUGAGAUGUUGGGUUAAGUCCCGCAACGAGCGCAACCCUUAUUGUCAGUAGCCAGCAGGUCGCGCUGGGCACUCUGAUGAGACUGCCGGGGAUAACCCGGAGGAAGGUGGGGAUGACGUCAAAUCAUCAUGCCCCUUAUGAGCAGGGCUACACACGUGCUACAAUGGCGUAAACGGAGGGAAGCGAAGGAGUGAUCUGGAGCAAAUCCCAAAAAUAACGUCUCAGUUCGGAUUGUAGUCUGCAACUCGACUACAUGAAGCUGGAAUCGCUAGUAAUCGCAGAUCAGAAUGCUGCGGUGAAUACGUUCCCGGGUCUUGUACACACCGCCCGUCACACCAUGGGAGUCGGUAAUGCCCGAAGUCAGUGACUCAACCGAAAGGAGAGA